rnacentral:lncRNA from 1 species
NNNNNNNNNNNNNNNNNNNNNNNNNNNNNUUUUUUUCUCUCUCUGUCCAGCGCUCUGCCUGUCGCUAUUGUUGGUAAUGGAGAGUUUUGAGAGCAUCAGGGAGGAGUCAGUGGCUUUGAGCGUUUGGAGGGAGGUGUUGAAGCGGGAACGCGUUCUCUUUUAUUGGGAUGAUUUUGAGAGGCUGUUUUUAUGGGCAAGGGAACAGGGAUUCUUUCCCAGUCUUGCCGAGGCUCUGUCCUGGGAGAAAUGGGCUCCUGUGGGAGACCGCCUCAUGGAUGCCCUGCUUGAUAAUCGUUUUGAAGGCAUUGGGCCACUGCUGAUGUUGUGGAAGAGAUUGGAUGCCAUCUGGCAGGGCUCUGACACUGGUGGCUCUCGUGAUUCUCUGAGAAAUUUUUCUACCUCUGAUGUUGGGGAGGCCGAGUCCCUGGGGCGUGGCCCGGAUUCCCCUUGUGCCCAGGAGAGUGAGUCAGAGGACGGCUUCUCCUCUGGGGAGCCCCGGGCUCCCAGCCCGCUGGCUCCGAGCGUCCGGUCGGUGGAGCGGGUCCGACCGCCCCGCCCUGCCCCGCGCCGCUGGCAUGGUGGGACGAAGGGGAAAGAACUUCCUCUUUGUGCCUUCCCGGCGAUCGGGGGCGAACGGGGGCUUGUGGACCAGCCCUCGCCUCGGGUUGCAUCUGGCUCAGUGAAGGUGAAUUGCCCGAAUUGUGGGGUCACGUUCCCCUUUAAAGCGACCCAGGCGGAUUCGCCCGGAUCGGUUUCGGGUUCAUCUUCCGAGGAUGAGUCAGCUCCAAUCCCUGAGCCUGCGCAGCCUGCUGGGCGUGCGCAGGCGGUGGGGGCUGCCAAGGAUGGGGCGUUGGUCUCUGUUCCGUCGGGCUCUGCCCCAGCAGGCGGGCAGCCCGUCCGGUCCCGCCUGAUGGGGGCGGUGCCCGCCGGGCGGUUGCGUGUUGCGGGUCCGAAGCUCCUUGGGGGCGUGCCGGCCUCCGUUGUGUCGUCCCGCAGUGACAUUUCUCCGCGCUCCGCGUCUCCCUCUACAUC